GACGAACGCUGGCGGCGUGCUUAACACAUGCAAGUCGAACGGUGAAGGGACCGGUUUUUGCUGGUUCUGGAUGAGUGGCGAACGGGUGAGUAACACGUGAGUAACCUGCCCCCUUCUUCUGGAUAACCGCAUGAAAGUGUGGCUAAUACGGGAUAUUCUGCGCCUGCUGCAUGGUGGGUGUGGGAAAGAUAUUGUUUCGGUGGGGGAUGGGCUCGCGGCCUAUCAGCUUGUUGGUGGGGUGAUGGCCUACCAAGGCGGUGACGGGUAGCCGGCCUGAGAGGUUGGACGGUCACACUGGGACUGAGACACGGCCCAGACUCCUACGGGAGGCAGCAGUGGGGAAUAUUGCACAAUGGGCGCAAGCCUGAUGCAGCGACGCCGCGUGAGGGAUGGAGGCCUUCGGGUUGUAAACCUCUUUCGCCAGUGAAGCAGGCCUGUCCCUUUUGUGGGUGGGUUGACGGUAGCUGGAUAAGAAGCGCCGGCUAACUACGUG
rnacentral:rRNA from 1 species